rnacentral:piRNA from 1 species
UAAAAUGGAUGGUUUUGUGUAUAG